rnacentral:rRNA from 1 species
GCCAUGACAACUUGGCCCCGCCACACCCCCACGGGGUUUACAGCAGUGAUUAAUAUUAAACAUAAGCGAAAGCUUGAUUUAGUUAUAGUAACCUAUAGGGCCGGUUAAUUUCGUGCCAGCCACCGCGGUUAUACGAAAGGCCCAAAAUAACGACCAGCGGCGUAAAGUGUGGCUAGAGGCACCUAAUUAAGGAAAAACACCUUCUCUGCUGUAAAACGCCUAAGAAGACAAGAAUAUUAACCCCUUAGACCAUUUAACGCCACGAAAGCUAGGGCACAAACUGGGAUUAGAUACCCCACUAUGCCUAGCCCUAAACCUAGAUAAAAAGAUACUAUUUAUCCGCCAGAGAACUACGAGCAAAAUACUUAAAACUCAAAGGACUUGGCGGCAUUCCACAUCACCCUAGAGGAGCCCGUCCAAUAAUCGAUAACACACGCUCAACCCCACCAUUUUUGGCCACUCCAGCCUAUAUACCGCCGUCGUCAGCUAACCUUGUGAAAGAAAAAAAGUAAGCACAAUAGUCCUCGCUAAAACGUCAGGUCAAGGUGUAGCUAAUGAAAUGGCUGCGAUAGGCUACAUUUUCUGACAAAGAAAACACGGAAAAUACAAUGAAACCUGUAUUUAAAGGCGAAUUUAGCAGUAAAAUAGGAAAUGAUCCCUACUUAAUAUCGCUCUGGAAUGC